rnacentral:rRNA from 1 species
CUACGGGGCGCACCAGUGAGGAAUAUUGGUCAAUGGGCGCGAGCCUGAACCAGCCAUCCCGCGUGCAGGAUGACGGCCCUAUGGGUUGUAAACUGCUUUUCUAUGCCAAGAAACCCUGUUACGAGUAACAGGUUGCCGGUAGCAUAGGAAUAAGCAUCGGCUAACUCCGUGCCAGCAGCCGCGGUAAUACGGAGGAUGCAAGCGUUAUCCGGAUUCAUUGGGUUUAAAGGGUGCGCAGGUGGGCUUGUAAGUCAGUGGUGAAAUGCUGCCGCUUAACGGUAGAAAUGCCAUUGAUACGGCGAGUCUUGAGUAUGGUUGAGGUAGGCGGAAUGUGUUGUGUAGCGGUGAAAUGCAUAGAUAUGACACAGAACGCCAAUUGCGAAGGCAGCUUACUAAGCCAUUACUGACGCUGAGGCACGAAAGCGUGGGGAGCGAACAGGAUUAGAUACCCCUGUAGUC